UACGGGGGGGGCAAGCGUUGUUCGGAAUUACUGGGCGUAAAGGGCUCGUAGGUGGCCAACUAAGUCAGACGUGAAAUCCCUCGGCUUAACCGGGGAACUGCGUCUGAUACUGGAUGGCUUGAGUUCGGGAGAGGGAUGCGGAAUUCCAGGUGUAGCGGUGAAAUGCGUAGAUAUCAGCAGGAACACCCGUGGCGAAGGCGGCUUCCUGGAUCACCCCUGACGCUGAGACGCGAAAGCGUGGGGAGCGAACGGG
rnacentral:rRNA from 1 species